rnacentral:rRNA from 1 species
GAAGACGGCCAUAGUAAGCAGGAAACACCUCUUCCCGUCAGAUCAGAGAAGUUAAGCUGCCUACGUUUUAGGUUGUACUCUCUAACGAGGGGAAUCCUAAAAGCUGUCUUCG